GACGAACGCUGGCGGCGUGCUUAACACAUGCAAGUCGAGCGGAAAGGCCACUUCGGUGGUACUCGAGCGGCGAACGGGUGAGUAACACGUGAGUAAUCUGCCCCUCACUUUGGGAUAGCCACCGGAAACGGUGAUUAAUACCGGAUAUGACCAUAUGUCGCAUGGCGUGUGGUGGAAAGUUUUUCGGUGAGGGAUGUGCUCGCGGCCUAUCAGCUUGAUGGUGAGGUAAUGGCUCACCAUGGCUUCGACGGGUAGCCGGCCUGAGAGGGUGACCGGUCACACUGGGACUGAGACACGGCCCAGACUCCUACGGGAGGCAGCAGUGGGGAAUAUUGGACAAUGGGCGGAAGCCUGAUCCAGCAACGCCGCGUGAGGGAUGACGGCCUUCGGGUUGUAAACCUCUUUCAGUACCGACGAAGCGCAAGUGACGGUAGGUACAGAAGAAGCACCGGCCAACUACGUA
rnacentral:rRNA from 1 species